rnacentral:lncRNA from 10 species
GGCAGUUUCCUGAUCUUCUGGAUAUGCUGCCACGCUGUCCCAGGGCUGGUGGUGUCCCCUGACUUGUUCCUCUCCUGACUUUCUCAGCCUGGAGACUGAAAGCUCUCUUUGGCUGUUGGCCCUCCCAGGCAGAGUCCACUGGCUGUUAGGGUGAAAUGGGGCUGAUGCUUCCUGGAAUCCACCAGAAGUAUGCAAAUUGCACCAUCUCUUUCAGCUGCCUGCGCCUGCAUUCCAUCGAGGAUUCCGAUCCAAAUGUUAAUGUCAUUGAGAAACACCUUGACUGACACACCCAGAAUAAUGUUUGAGCAAACAUCCGGGCUCUCCAUGGCUCAGUCAAACUGGCACAUCAUACUCUGAGUGAGAUUGGAAGACACUGAGGCUGAGUGACUUGGGCAAUGAUUCAGCAAUACCAACUGUGAACUCUCAAUGACUUGGGCUAAUGAGAAGAAUGACAUGGAUAAUCUAAAAAUAAUGGACAACUGGAAAAAACAUCAGCCUGCUUGUGGAGCACACCAGGUCAUGAUUUCUGCAGUGGGGGAGGAGCUGAUUUGCUUCAUUCAUUCUAGAACCUCUAUUCUAGCUGAUGUUAAAUCUGGUUGUUUUUGAGAGCACUCAUAGCCAUCAUGCCCAUCUCUGUAUCACAGGGGUUUGGGAAAAGAAACUCUUCUGGCCAAGGAUGGAAGAAUAAAAACAUAACUGAGUUCCAGAUAUGCUAAUGUUUUCCACUAUUGCAUCUCUAAGAUAUCAGUAGGACCUGGAAAGGUGGCAAUGACCUCAUGGCUCCCAGGUGCUGGGGUUGCUGCAAUGGCUGGAGCUGAGAAAAACUUGAAGGUUUUAGAGAAGCUCUGCUUCCAAAUGAAGGGUGCAGAGUAAUUAAUGCCCCAAGCUACAUGGAGUGGCCAAUUGAAGAAGCUAUAAAAGUUGGAGCAGUGCAGGAAGCAACAUGCCUGGGAAAGGGGAUUUUUUUGCACUUUUUAUUGCAAUAAUGCAGGAACAUUCUAUGAAUAGAAUCCAGGGGAGCCAUCAAGUCCAUGUUCGGGUGACUGUAAGGGGAGGGAUUUUGAUCCUCUUCCGAGACAGCUGUCUUCAGGCUCAGGCACAGAUCACAUUAUUUUAUUAGAGCCUUCAGUAGUUAAGAGAAAGUUCUUGGUUGAAUUGGGAAAGGGACCUAAAAAUAACUGUAAAAUUUUGAGCUAGCUCUGCCCCUUUCUGUACUAGAUACAAUCCUGGAUGUAGAGAAUCAGAGACUUGAGGUUAAGACCUAGCUCUGGCACCAACUUGGACAAGUCACAUCACCUAUCUCCACCUAUCUCCUUCACUGUGAAAUGAGAGGAUUGGAAUAAAUGAUAUCUAAAUCUCCCCUGGCCUCCAUUGUUUCUGCUUUGUGGAUGCCGUUUUAUGGAUUGAGAAAUCAAAGUCUAUUGAUGAAAAUGAUUGCAAUGUGCAGAUUCACUUGGAACACAGAAAGACUCAGAGAGCUGGUCAGUACCAAAGGAGGUUGGAGUGCUUUGCCUUGAAUGCAAGAAAUAACGAUGUGCAAUGUCAUGGAGAAUUUUAAAACAAUAAUAGAUACAAGAAAAAGUCGGUCUGCUUUUUAUUAUCACCAUGCACUGACAGUUCUAAGCAAUGUCAGUGAUAAAAUAUUCCUCACCUUGAUGGACAACUCUCCCCAUCCUCCAUCCUUGGUAUACCACUGUUUAUCUGUACAAUUCUCUUUUUAUUCAAUGCUCUUUCAAUUCCUCUCACUACACAGG